ensembl:snoRNA small nucleolar RNA, C/D box 68
UGAUGACACAUCUCCGGAAUCUCUGUACUGUUUCUGAUGAUUCUCCUUGAACCCUUUUUGCUGAUGAUUGUCUGGCUGAGC